GACGAACGCUGGCGGCGUGCUUAACACAUGCAAGUCGAACGGAAAGGCCCUGCUUUUGUGGGGUGCUCGAGUGGCGAACGGGUGGGUAACACGUGAGUAACCUGCCCUUGACUUUGGGAUAACUUCAGGAAACUGGGGCUAAUACCGGAUAGGAGCUCCUGCUGCAUGGUGGGGGUUGGAAAGUUUCGGCGGUUGGGGAUGGACUCGCGGCUUAUCAGCUUGUUGGUGGGGUAGUGGCUUACCAAGGCUUUGACGGGUAGCCGGCCUGAGAGGGUGACCGGCCACAUUGGGACUGAGAUACGGCCCAGACUCCUACGGGAGGCAGCAGUGGGGAAUAUUGCACAAUGGGCGGAAGCCUGAUGCAGCAACGCCGCGUGCGGGAUGACGGCCUUCGGGUUGUAAACCGCUUUCGCCUGUGACAAAGCGUGAGUGACGGUAAUGGGUAAAGAAGCACCGGCUAACUACGUG
rnacentral:rRNA from 1 species